AAAUGAAAUUACUUUUAAAAUUGAAUUUAGUGAAUAACGAUGUUUGAGAGUUAAUCAUCAAGCAACAAACCACUGAUACAAAUAUACUUCUGUAUUAAAAAGUUUACAGAUAAGCACUGUAACCAGUCACUUGAAAUGUCAACACUAACUGAUGUUACUGGCUUAUAGUAAGCUAACUGCAGAAAAUCAUGUAGAUAAUAAAUACACAGUUCAUAGCAUAAUAUUUUUACCUUUUAUUUUGUGAAAUAUAAGUUCUGGUUUAACC